GCAUAGCUCAGCAGUUAGAGCAUGAGACUCUUAAUCUCAGGGUUGUGGGUUUGAGCCCCAUGUUGUGCA
rnacentral:tRNA from 1 species